UGGGGAAUAUUGGACAAUGGGGGCAACCCUGAUCCAGCGAUGCCGCGUGUGUGAAGAAGGCCUGCGGGUUGUAAAGCACUUUAGUUGGGGAGGAAAGGUAUGUACUUCAUAAGUGCAUGCUGUGACGUUACCCAAAGAAUAAGCACCGGCUAACUCUGUGCCAGCAGCCGCGGUAAUACAGAGGGUGCAAGCGUUAAUCGGAAUUACUGGGCGUAAAGCGCGCGUAGGUGGUUUGUUAAGUUGGAUGUGAAAUCCCCGGGCUCAACCUGGGAACUGCAUUCAAAACUGACUGACUAGAGUAUGGUAGAGGGUGGUGGAAUUUCCUGUGUAGCGGUGAAAUGCGUAGAUAUAGGAAGGAACACCAGUGGCGAAGGCGACCACCUGGACUGAUACUGACACUGAGGUGCGAAAGCGUGGGGAGCAAACAGGAUUAGAUACCCAAGUAGUCCCUGAGCGGGCUGGCAAGGCGCAU
rnacentral:rRNA from 1 species